rnacentral:rRNA from 1 species
GAUGAACGCUGGCGGCGUGCCUAAUACAUGCAAGUCGAGCGAACAGACGAGGAGCUUGCUCCUCUGAUGUUAGCGGCGGACGGGUGAGUAACACGUGGAUAACCUACCUAUAAGACUGGGAUAACUUCGGGAAACCGGAGCUAAUACCGGAUAAUAUUUUGAACCGCAUGGUUCAAAAGUGAAAGACGGUCUAGCUGUCACUUAUAGAUGGAUCCGCGCUGCAUUAGCUAGUUGGUAAGGUAACGGCUUACCAAGGCAACGAUGCAUAGCCGACCUGAGAGGGUGAUCGGCCACACUGGAACUGAGACACGGUCCAGACUCCUACGGGAGGCAGCAGUAGGGAAUCUUCCGCAAUGGGCGAAAGCCUGACGGAGCAACGCCGCGUGAGUGAUGAAGGUCUUCGGAUCGUAAAACUCUGUUAUUAGGGAAGAACAUAUGUGUAAGUAACUGUGCACAUCUUGACGGUACCUAAUCAGAAAGCCACGGCUAACUACGUG